GCCGAAGUGGUGGAAUGGUAGACACGCCGGACUCAAAAUCCGGUGCCCUCAAAAAGCGUGUGGGUUCGAGUCCCACCUUCGGUA
rnacentral:tRNA from 2 species